rnacentral:rRNA from 1 species
UACGAAGGGAGCGAGCGUUGUUCGGAAUCACUGGGCUUAAAGCGUGCGUAGGCGGAUAUACAAGUCAGAAGUGAAAUCCCCGGGCUUAACCCGGGAACUGCUUUUGAGACUGUAUGUCUAGAAUUCGGUAGGAGGUUAAUGGAAUGUCCAGUGUAGAGGUGAAAUUCGCAGAUAUUGGACGGAACACCAGUGGCGAAGGCGAUUAACUGGGCCGAUAUUGACGCUGAGGCACGAAAGCGUGGGUAGCAAACAGG